rnacentral:lncRNA from 1 species
AGGUGACUGACCAACCAGAGUCCAGCCGGGGUCCCCCUAGGCGGCGGCUCUGCCUCCCGUUCCCAGCCUGGCAGUCAGACCUGCUCUUGUUAUGCGCUUCUGGUAAACAGCCUCUCUUUAGAACUGGGAGCUUCCAGCAAGCUUGCUGCAGCGAGGUGGUUUUUUUAUUUAUUUUUUUUUUUUCCGGCUGAAAGGCGCCCCCUGGGUCCUAAGCCUCCUAUGCCAUGCUCAUCACUUUGCCCUGAGUCAAGAGAGGAACUCAGCCAAGCAGAAAGAGGCAGAAAAGUUCAGGUCAUGCUUAGCAGUGGUUCAGCGUGAGACAUGCACUGGCUGCAUCCCCGGGGCCUUUCUUCUCUUCUUUUUACAUUUGUAUAGGAGGCGCUCCCGAGAUGAUGCGGCUCGUUCAGGUUGUGCAGCGCCCGCACAUGUCCCAGGAAGAGAAUUCACCCCUCACGCCCGCGGAGUCUCCUAUGCCAUCCUCACCAAACUCAGCUUUCCUACCGAGCCACGGAAGACAGAAUUUACAUGUCAGUCGUUUCCCCGAGGGAGGUCUGAAGUUCCUUCUUCCCCGCUCUGGUGAAUAACCAGGUGAGGGACCCCAGAGAAAUGACGUGCACACGCCGCACUGCUCUCUAAAGGCUCAGGCUCAUGGCUCUCGGAGCAGACCUGCGGGAGGAGGGAUAGCCGACCAAGCCCACAGCUGCGGGUGUCUGCCCUGAGCUCAUGCAGAGACGCCCAGUUUUCUCCCAUAACAAACAGGGUGUCUCCUGUGAAACUUGGCAGUAGCAGUCACCGACCAGCUGGUUGACAUACAUAAAUUUCCCCUGUGGGAAUUUUCAAGCAGAUACAAAAGUAGAGAGACUAACGAGUUAGCAGGUACCUGUCACCCAGCUCAUGGCGCUGUCAACACAAGGCCGACCUGUUCCACCCCCAGCUCAUAUCACUCCCUCUCCCCACUGCAUUAUUUGAGGGAAAAUUAGUAUAUUGAUCACGCUUUCAGCUUCUGCUUGUUCUUGAAGCUGUCUCCCUCAGGUGCGGAAAUGUGAGCUGUCGUUUAGGUUGCUCUUGGUGGCUUUAUUGAGCCCGGCAUUCUCUCUGGCAGUGUUUUUGGUAUUGGCAGAAGCACAGGCAUUUUCUGGGCUCAACAGUUCAGCGUCCCGGGAGCCUGUCACGUGUCUUCCCUGUGAUCCCAGCGUUAGACCUCCACUCAUGAGCUCUCCUGGCUCAUCACCCCUGACGGUGGAGGCUGGGGGUUACUCUUCAUGAGGGUCUAGGCUGGCUCAGAAAAGGGGCUUAAUACCGUGUUGUUGUUGCCUGACUGGAUGGAUUCCAUUUGGCCUUCCCCUCACCCGAACCUCACCCUCAGCCCUGCACCUGGCUCCGUGUAUCUUAAAUGAGGAGGAAGUCACCUGAGCCUCACGACCCCUUUUGUCCCG